rnacentral:rRNA from 1 species
GUGCCAGCCGCCGCGGUAAUACCCGCAGCUCAAGUGGUGGUCAUUAUUAUUGGGCUUAAAGCGUCCGUAGCUGGCUUGUUAGAUGCCUGGGUAAAUCGAUGUGCUUAACGCAUCGAAUUCCGGGUAGACCGGCAAGCUCGAGACCGGGAGAGGUGUAGGCUACUCGGGGGGUAGGGGUAAAAUCCUGUAAUCCUCCGGGGAGGACCAGUGGCGAAGGCGCUACACUAGAACGGCUCUGACAGUGAGGGACGAAGCCCUGGGGCGCAAACCGGAUUAGAAACCCGCGUAGUCC